AUGGCUUCCAAUGGGGUGUCCGCUGAAUUACUCCGUGCCUACAAACUUGAUGGAACAAACUACACGGUUUGGAAAAGGAAAAUCAUGUUCUUGCUUACGGCUGAGAAUAUUGAUUAUGUUUCUGAAACUCCGGCGCCUAACGAGCCAGCAGAGGAUGCUACAGAUGAAGAAAAGCAGGAAUACAAUGAUGAACUGAAGCAAUGGACCAAGGACAACAAGACUGCCAGAGUUUAUAUCCUUGGCUCGAUGACUGAUUCGUUGGCUGCGGAAUAUGAGUCGGAUAGAACAGCUUAUGGAAUAAUGCUCAGGCUGGAACAAGAUUUUGGAGAAGUUUCCCUUGUGAAGGUGCUUAGUCUUGUGAACAAGUUUCUGACAUCGAAGAUGGGUGAUAAAACAGUCAAUGAACACUUCAACAAGCUCUGUGUCUUGGCGGAAGAAUUAAAAACUGCUGGUUAUCCGUUCCAGGAGGAAGUACAAGUCAUGGUUGUUCUGAAUUCUUUGCCACCAUCAUGGGAACAGUUCAAGAUUUCUUUUUGUCAUUCAGAACGCACACUCAAUAUGAGGAACCUGAGGCAACACUUGCUAAUGGAGGAGGAUCGCAGGCUUAACUCAGGGAAAGAUAAAGCUUCUUAUCAGCCAGAGCUUCACCUUGGUGAGUACAAAAACAAUGGGAACCGGAGGAAUUGGAAUAAGAGAGGAGGAGGACCGGACCUAAGGGACAAGAUCAAUUAUAAACGUGACAGGGAUCAAAGGAACUACAGAGAUGAGAGGAGGGACAGGGGGCAGCAUGGAAAUAACAACAACAACAACUCUUUUCAGAAGAUUGACAAGAGGAACUACAAGUGCCAUAAUUGUGGUAAUACAGGCCACUUCAGGUCAGAAUGCACCAAGAGGAGGAAGCCGAACAGCGAAAGGGAUAAUUUUCACAAGGAUGACAGCCGCAAGGGGAAUCAAUCCCCUGAAGGAGCUGUCGAGAGGGUUACUCAUCAUAGAAUUGGAAAAGCUAGCUAG
rnacentral:rRNA from 1 species